UGUUGGGUGUGUUUGAUCCCUGCCUUUACCUUCUGGACUGUGGCUUCUGUGCUCACGUGGUCCACAAUUACGGGUUUCCAGGAUACGAUGGCGGGUUCUCCAGGAGCUCCUGUUCUCGACAGACAGCUUAUUUAGUGAUGUGGAAUCUUUCAUUUACUCCUAUUUAUAGAGGAGGGAGAGGAAGUGGUGAUCUGCUGUUUAACCCCUAAUGAAGUCAGUGCCGGUGACCGACACCUGGACCGGAUUGCUCCUGAUCAGAAGCCACUGGAAGGAAGCCAGAGCCAUUAGCCUGCUGUCGUUGUGAGGGAGGAUGGGGAUCCAUCCUGUUAGCUGAUGCAAAAUGAACAGUGCCGGUUGGUCACAAAGCACAAUGCUGGGGGACCUUUGGGGAUGGAAGGUGAUGUGUUAGAAGUGUGUGGGUUUUUUUUCUUUUUCUUUUUUGCGCACGCACGCACAGGCGCCGUGACACAAAGCCCAACACAUCGACACAGCAGUGCUGCAGCAGUGGUCUGAUUCAUAGCUAAUGAAUAUUUACCAGCUGGCCUUGCAGUGUCUGAAACUGCAGCAGCUCACAGGGG
ensembl:lncRNA